UACAGGGUGGCGCAGUGGAAGCGUGCUGGGCCCAUAACCCAGAGGUCUAUGGAUCGAGACCAUUCCCCGCUA